UAUAUGCGAGCAAUAAUGGAUUUUGAGCACACCUCCACCUCUUCUCCAAUUUCUCGACUCCUGCUCUUGUCGGAUUUUUGUCUCUGCGCGUUUAAUUCAGCCCACGCUACUAAUAUGUCACGAAGCCGACCAAUCAGAGAGCUGGCGGAAGUACACUCUGUUACCAAUUGCACUUUUUGGUAAUUGCAACUCUGCACCGUAGUGUAUAGUGGACAGGCGAUUAACGUGGCUUGUUGUCGUCGAUUCGCCCGGUGCUUACUUCAGAGAGGUGGUUAUGUGUAUAAAAACACAGUGACACGUUGGAUGGUAUUUUGCUGGAGACUUUUAUUAACAAAACUAAAACCAGCAUGGGACACAGCCACUUUUCAUGGCGCUCUUCGCACAACUCUCUCUCAACACCUUGCUCCCUGCCUCUCUUUUUCUUACGCUUAACUAGUAAGCUGGUCAUACUGUAGGGGACAGCGGCCCCUUGGGGGUGCCGGUAACAACUGAUUGGCUGGUUACUUCCGCUUGCUCUGUGCAUUAUGCCCCGAAAGCGUUGUGUGUGUGUCGCACAACAAGUGUCAAACGCCACUACGAGACAAAACAUGAAAUUCAUGGAAAACAGGGCCAGGGAUCACAUUAAGGCUUUUAUUUUGGCACAAGAACCAUAGAGCAUUUAAACAGCGCCCAGCCCACACACCUAGUGUCACGGACAUAUGAGGAAGUGCGCAGGUAGUACCCAGCUUACGACGUACCCGACUUAAGUGAUUUCGACUUUUCGACGCCGGAGUCUUGUCCGCCAUUUUGUUUCCAGUAGUUUUAUUUAUCUAUUUUUUUUUUUGUCAUGUAUCGGUGUAGAGUGUGUGUUUGAGCUCUGUAUUUUUCUCAGUGUAACAGCGGUCAAGUUUUCCUGCAAAUAUUUGUUCUGCCAAUAUGAGAAGCUGUUGUCUCACAAAGGUUAACCGAAUAUUACCAUGUUACACAACUUAUUUUUUUUUUGUGUGUGCAGGCUUUUUUUUCCUGUUGUGAUUGUACAAUUCUCGGCAUUAAGCAGUGAUCUCUCGUUUUCGUGGUUAAUGGGGACCAGAAUUCGCCGGGGUAAGUGAUAAACUGCGAAGUAACGCACCCCCUCACCAAAAAAACUAUAUAUUUUUUUUGUGUGUGUUCAGUGUAUUCAGAUUUAGCAUUGGAAAGAGAUCCAUAUAAGACAUUUUUUAAACGUUAUUUUUUUUUGUCAAAUUAUAAUUUUUUUUUUUUUUAAUGUAUAUUUAUAUUAAUAAAUGGUACCAAUUGGCUCGGUACAGCUCAUCUGUAUUAUUAUUAUUAUUUUUUUUUAAUUGAAAAAAAAAAAAAAAAAAAAAAACGCAAUGACAUGAGCGCGCGAAGUUUGAAGCGCGAAGUAGCGAGAGAUCACUGUAUUGUUAAUAAUUGUUUACAAGUUAAAUUGUCAAAUUCAUAAGUUUCAUAAGUGUCAAAUUUCAUAAGUGAGCGCAUACCCAAUCAGGUCGCUUUCUGGUUUCUACGAAGGAAGUUGAGUCCGAUCAAGCAAGCAACUGCGUAGUAGAAGCAGCUCGACCUCAUCUAAAUUACUGAAAUUAAGCUUUUAAUAAGCUUAAUAAGUCACAUCGACUUACCUGUUCGCUAGCAGGCCAAAGUGUUCUA